AGAGUUUGAUCAUGGCUCGAGGACGAACGCUGGCGGCGUGCUUAACACAUGCAAGUCGAACGGUGACCCAGGGCUUGCCCUGGUGAUCAGUGGCGAACGGGUGAGUAACACGUGGGCAACCUGCCCCUGACUUCGGGAUAACUCCUCGAAAGAGGAGCUAAUACCGGAUACGACCACUUCGGACAUCCGAUGGUGGUGGAAAGUUUUUCGGUCAGGGAUGGGCCCGCGGCCUAUCAGCUAGUUGGUGGGGUAAUGGCCUACCAAGGCGACGACGGGUAGCCGGCCUGAGAGGGCGACCGGCCACACUGGGACUGAGACACGGCCCAGACUCCUACGGGAGGCAGCAGUGGGGAAUAUUGCGCAAUGGGCGAAAGCCUGACGCAGCGACGCCGCGUGAGGGAUGAAGGCCUUCGGGUUGUAAACCUCUUUCAGCAGGGACGAAGCGAAAGUGACGGUACCUGCAGAAGAAGCACCGGCUAACUACGUG
rnacentral:rRNA from 1 species